CGCAGAUCAGCAUGCUGCGGUGAAUACGUUCCCGGGCCUUGUACACACCGCCCGUCACACCAUGGGAGCCGGUAACACCCGAAGCCUGUAGUCUAACCGCAAGGAGGACGCAGUCGAAGGUGGGAUUGAUGACUGGGGUGAAGUCGUAACAAGGUACC
rnacentral:rRNA from 1 species